rnacentral:misc_RNA from 1 species
UACGUAGGGGGCAAGCGUUGUCCGGAAUUAUUGGGCGUAAAGGGCAUGUAGGCGGCCAUUCGCGUCCACUGUGAAAGGCCCCGGCUUAACCGGGGGACGGCAGUGGAAACGGGAUGGCUUGAGGUCAGGAGAGGAGCGCGGAAUUCCCAGUGUAGCGGUGGAAUGCGUAGAUAUUGGGAGGAACACCAGUGGCGAAGGCGGCGCUCUGGCCUGGACCUGACGCUGAGGUGCGAAAGCGUGGGGAGCGAACGGG